GCCUGAGUGGUGCAGUGGUUUGAGUGUUGGACUAGGACUCUGGAGAUCAGGGUUCGAAUCCUGGAUUGGCCA